GGGGAGUUGCCCGAGUGGUCAAAGGGGACGGGCUGUAAACCCGUUGCGUUAUCGCUUCGAAGGUUCAAAUCCUUCACUCCCCACCA
rnacentral:tRNA from 1 species